GGCAAUAGAAAGAGGGGCGGGAGGCAGCCAGAAAAGGGAAGGAAACGAGCUGCUCGCGGAGGUCGAAGCGGAUGAGGCGCUGGGCACUCUGGGCACCGUUGUGAAAGGAUCGCAAGGACGGGUCGAAUCGAAAGAGAAGAAGAUUACUCUCUCUGAGGAGCAGGAGGAGGAGGAGGAGGAGUACCAACAACAAAUGUGAGAGAGGGGGAGGAAGAAGCGAGGAAUAAGAGAUCGUUACCAGCUUCUUUUUGAUUCUCAAGCUGGCAAGGCUUCUUUGCCUCCUCCUCAAUGUUGUUAGUCCACAUGAUGCUUCCUUUUCUUGUGUAGCAAGAUCGACAAUUCUUCGUCCUGAUUGCAGAUUGUGGAUUCAUAACUUUGAGAGGGGCAUAGGGAGAUAUCUCAAACUUGUUUCCAGUGAGGGCCUGGAUUUCGGUCGCGCGUCGAAAACAUGUUGGAGAGCCAGUCGUUUUUGAUCUCCAGAGCAUUGCCGAGCUCCUGUGAGCAAGAAUCGAAAUUGGCUUACAUGACUUACCAUCUCCUUGAGAUCACUACCAACAAACGCCCUACGAUCGUGGAAUCUUUCGAGCUAAAUGAAGCUGCUAUGAUAAAGAAGGCUAAAUCUGCAGACGACCUGGGACCUCCCUUUCAGGAAGAAAAAGCAUUGCCUCUUGAUGAAUCCAAUUAUAAUGGCCAGCACUCUGAUACAAAUUCUCUUAUUGGUCAAAUCGGCUGCGACAUGUCUAUAAAGUGUCUCCUUCACUGCUCUCGGUCGGACUAUGGUGCCCUUGCAUCGCUGAACCGGGCUUUCAAUUCCCUGUUCCGGACUGGUGAGCUCUACAAGCUACGGCGGCAGACUGGGAUCAUCGAGCACUGGGUGUACUUCUCCUGCAACAUACUUGAGUGGGAAGCAUAUGAUCCCUAUUGUGGGCACUGGAUUACUCUUCCAAAAAUGCCUCAGAAUGAUUUCUUCAUGCGCUCUGAUAAGGAAUCGCUGGCUGUGGGCACCGAGCUCCUCGUUUUUGGGAGGGACUACACCUCUCGUAUUGCCCAUAUAGUGCUGAGGUAUAGCAUUCUGACGAAUUCUUGGUCCCAAGGUAUUGAAAUGAACUCCCCUAGGUGCUUGUUUGGAUCCGCCAGCUUUGGCGAAGUAGCUAUCGUUGCCGGUGGUGUAGAUGCUCAAAAUACUAUAUUGAGUUCUGCAGAGCUCUAUAAUUCUGAGACGCAAACGUGGGUAACACUUCCUAGUAUGAAUAAACCAAGGAAAAUGUGUUCAGGUGUCUUUAUGGACAACAAGUUCUAUGUGAUUGGCGGAAUGCGUAGCCCUACCGAAUUGCUGACGUGCGGGGAAGAAUAUGAUACGGAGAGACAUAGCUGGAGGGUCAUUCCAAAUAUGUCUCUAGGACUGAAUGGUCCAAGUGGUGCACCUCCAUUGGUGGCAGUAGUCAAUAAUGAGCUAUAUGCAGCUGAUUAUGCAGAAAAGGAGGUCAGGAAGUAUGACAAGGAGAAUAACUCUUGGGUCACUCUUGGAAGAUUGCCUGAGAGACCAGAUUCAGUGAACGGUUGGGGUCUAGCUUUUCGGGCUUGUGGUGAUCGACUCCUAGUGAUCGGUGGACCGAGGGUGCUUGGAGGAGGGAUGAUUGAACUAAAUUCAUGGACACCGAGAGAUGGACCUCCAGAGUGGAAACUGAUUGCUAGGAAGCACUGUGGAAGCUUUGUGUAUAACUGUGCUGUAAUGGGCUGCUGAGAUUUGUCUGAAGAUAUGCUGCAUAUCUUCUUGCAGUACGAGUAUGUGCAAGAUUGGCUGGUCAAAGGGCAUAAAACACCGAUUGUGCCAGGGCACUCUGGCUUUCGAAAUUUUCAGAUUUGAUAGGGCAAUCACUUUCUACUAUGUAAAACUCGAGAUACAUCUUCUUCCUUUCAUCUUCUAGCUUUGCCUUCAUCUAAUCUAAAGCCAAAUAUAUUUAACUUCUUCCAAAUUGCCCUUCAACAGGAUAGUGUUCUCGUGGAUCAUGCAGGAAUAUGGCACAUAAUAAUUCGGUGUAGCUGCAUGUUCAUUGGUUCCCUUGGAACUCUUCGAGCUUGUUAGCUUUACAGUGUGGUGUCAGUCAUCAAACACCGGAUUCCUCUCCUCUCCAAUUUAAACAUGCAAACUUAGGAAGAUUUCUGAGAAGCAACCCUAGUUGGACAAGAAUGGAGGUAAUUAAGAAGUCUGGUCAACUUUCAUACUUGGACUAAGUUAGACAAUGGAUUUUCUUUUAUCUUGGCAUUACUCUGCUUCUGCUUCAUCCCUGUAAAAAUGAUUAAAAUGUUAAACCUUAAUAGUCACAUCUACUUAUUGCCUGAAGCAUGCUGUUUAAUGUUUCCAGCUCUGCAUUGUUAGUUUAGUUAUCCUACAGAUAAAACUAAAAGAAGACAUCUGUAGUAUUCUUAUACUACAGAUAAUAGGAGGUUGGAGAUUGAUAGAUCUUUAUGCUCUUGAUGCUUGAUAGACCAUUCUUGAUACAUAUGCUCUGAUGUCGAAACCAUAACAUUAAGAAUAAUGUUCUUAUUAUUUUCAGCAUUACAUUAAUUUUUUUACUUCCUGUUCAAAGUUGCUAAUUUGACAUCACAAUGAACUCCAUACUUGAAGCAAGAAACCACUUUUUUAUCUGCUUUUUUGUUUUAUUAAUAUUUUGCUUUUAUGUUUGUGAAUAUACAGGUUAAUGUUCUUCUUGCACUAACGAGACCAUCAUAUUUUGCAGAAUCAGAGGGGUAGUCGAGUUGCAAGUUUUAUGGGGUUCUACUCGUAUGUUUAAGAUUGAACUCUUUUAAUUACUUUUCUAUGCCUGGAGUUUGAUGCUUGCCCAUUGUCCAUCUCGCAUCUGUCUUUCUUAUGGAUCCAUAAGGAUGAAGAUUUACUGUGAAAAUAUAUGUGCAAUUAUUGAACAUAUUAAAUAGAAGAAAUUUAUUGAUGAGGUUAUUUCCCUGAGCUAAAUGCCUGCUGUUAAGAGUGGGAAGCUGUUUUCUGUUAAUGUGGCUCGAUCAGCCUCUUGUAUGUUUAUGUCUCCGUUUCUACUUGUGCUGAGGUAAAAUUAUGUAACAAAAGAGUUUCUAAUGCAUCAAGGUUUCAUUUGGGUU